rnacentral:rRNA from 1 species
ACGAACGCUGGCGGCAUGCCUAACACAUGCAAGUCGAACGAGACCUUCGGGUCUAGUGGCGCACGGGUGCGUAACGCGUGGGAAUCUGCCCUUCGGUUCGGAAUAACAGUUAGAAAUGACUGCUAAUACCGGAUGAUGACUUCGGUCCAAAGAUUUAUCGCCGAGGGAUGAGCCCGCGUAGGAUUAGCUUGUUGGUGAGGUAAAGGCUCACCAAGGCGACGAUCCUUAGCUGGUCUGAGAGGAUGAUCAGCCACACUGGGACUGAGACACGGCCCAGACUCCUACGGGAGGCAGCAGUGGGGAAUAUUGGACAAUGGGCGAAAGCCUGAUCCAGCAAUGCCGCGUGAGUGAUGAAGGCCUUAGGGUUGUAAAGCUCUUUUACCCGGGAAGAUAAUGACUGUACCGGGAGAAUAAGCCCCGGCUAACUCCGU